rnacentral:tRNA from 1 species
GCCCCCUUAGCUCAGUGGAUCAGAGCGGCGCCCUUCUAAGGCGACGGUCGGUGGUUCGAAUCCACCAGGGGGUA